rnacentral:rRNA from 1 species
AGACAUGAAGUUAGGUCAGCAAACCCGCUGAAUUUAAGCAUAUAAGUAAGCGGAGGAUAAGAAACUAAAUAGGAUUCCCUCAGUAAUGGCGAAUGAACAGGGAUAAGCUCAGCUUGGAAAUUGGGCCCUCUGGGCUUGAAUUGUAGUCUUUCGAUGGCAUUGCCAGCGGAGGCGCAGAUGUAAGCCUCUUGGAAAAGAGCAUCAAUGAGGGUGAGAGUCCCGUUUGUCAUCUGCAGUCCCCCGUUUACGGUGUGCUUUCUAAGAGUCACGUUCCUUGGGAUUGGAGCGCAAAUUGGGUGGUAAAUUUCAUCUAAAGCUAAAUAUUGGUUCGAGACCGAUAGCAAACAAGUACCAUGAGGGAAAGGUGAAAAGGACUUUGAAAAGAGAGUUAAAAGUGCCUGAAAUUGCUGAAAGGGAAGCGAAUGGAACCAGUCUUCUUGGUGAGAUUGUUGUGCGCUAUUGUGAUUGCUUUCUGCUUCAACGCAAGUGUUGCAGUUUGUUUUGAGCAUGACGCGCACUUUGUUUCUCACCUCGUGUGUCACCGUCGGUUCAGAUUUGAGGAAAACUCUAGGGACAUGGUUAAUCGCUCGCGAGUGAUUGAACGUGCCUGGUAGAACUCAUGUCUAAACUGAUUUCCGCAUGUCUGGUCGCAGUGUUCUCAUUACCUGCGUCUGGGUUCGUGGCUUGUAGCUUCUGUUACUCGUCGCGGGCUUCUGGGCCUGGUCGUGGAGCAUCUCCCUGACAUUAGUACGAUGACAAAAUGGUUUCAUUCGACCCGUCUUGAAACACGGACCAAGGAGUCUAACAUAUGUGCAAGUUCACGGGUGUUAAACCUGAUUGCGCAAUGAAAGUGACUGCUGGGAUAUUUGCACCAGCAACCGACCAAUCAAUUGUGAGAGGUUUGAGUAUGAGCAUAUCUGUUAGGACCCGAAAGAUGGUGAACUAUGCGUGAGAAGGGUGAAGUCAGGGGAAACUCUGAUGGAGGCUCGUAGCGAUACUGACGUGCAAAUCGUUCGUCAUACUUGCGUAUAGGGGCGAAAGACUAAUCGAACCAUCUAGUAGCUGGUUCCCUCCGAAGUUUCCCUCAGGAUAGCUGGAGUUGAACAGUUUUAUCAGGUAAAGCGAAUGAUUAGAGGAAUCGGGGACGCGUUGUUCUCGACCUAUUCUCAAACUUUAAAUGGGUAAGAUCCAGUGGUUACUUGGGUGAACUUCUGGGAUAAAUGACAACUCUAAGUGGGCCAUUUUUGGUAAGCAGAACUGGCGAUGAGGGAUGAACCUAACGUUGGGUUAAGGUGCUU